UACGUAGGGUGCAAGCGUUGUCCGGAAUUAUUGGGCGUAAAGAGCUUGUAGGCGGUUUGUCGCGUCUGCUGUGAAAUUUCGGGGCUCAACCCCGAACUUGCAGUGGGUACGGGCAGACUAGAGUGUGGUAGGGGAGACUGGAAUUCCUGGUGUAGCGGUGAAAUGCGCAGAUAUCAGGAGGAACACCGAUGGCGAAGGCAGGUCUCUGGGCCACUACUGACGCUGAGCAGCGAAAGCGUGGGGAGCAAACAGG
rnacentral:rRNA from 1 species